ensembl:lncRNA
CCGACAGCAACAAAAGGAAGGUUAAUGUGACGUGAUGUAAACCAAUGAAGCAGAAGCUCGUAGCAAAGGGUUUUAUUUAAAAUCAAUUCUAUCAAAAGCUGACGGACGGGAUCACAGACCUCGUCACUUCAGUCCCUUCACACUCCACUAGUCAGCCGGACCCCGGGAGGAUAAGAAGUUAUAAACUAUUGCAUAAUCUGAAGUCAUGCCAGUCGGCAACCAGUCGGCAACCGUAUUAAUAAUCAAUAUUAAUAAGACAUAUUAAUUAAUAAACCAUAUUAAUAAUCAAUAUUAACAAUUCAUAUGCCACUUGGUGACUCAAACGUUCGUCUUCUCUGGUCAGUCCAGCAGUUUGCCAUCAGGGCAAACCAAUAAUUCAAAAUAUGGAUUAUUACAACAAUUAUGUGUAUAUUAAUUAUGUGCCUGUUCCUCAUAUUGAAAGGAUGAAGUGAGAUGUCUGUCUGUCUUUCUCCAUGUCUGUCCGACUUAAUGUCUGUCUGACUGUAUGCCUGUUAGCUGGCUAACUGUCAUUAGCCUGCUAGCUGGCUAACUGUCAUUAGCCUGCAUGCUGGCUAGCUUUCAUUAGCCUGCUAGCUGGCUAGCUGUCAUUAGCCUGCUAGCUGGCUAGCUGUCAUUAGCCUGCUAUCUGGCAAGCUGUCAUUAGCCUGCUAGCUGGCAAGCUGUCAUUAGCCUGUUAGCUGGCUUGCUGUGUCCCCAGUGUCUGUACCUACCUGUAGCUGUGCGAGGUGGUGCUAGGUGAUUUGGCGGCGCUAGGUGGUGUAGUGGUGGUGCUAGGUGAUUAAGCGGUGCUAGGUGGUGUAGCGGUGGUGCUAGGUUAUUUAGCUGUGCUAGGUGGUGUAUCGCUGGGGCUAGGUGGUGUAGCUGUGGUGCUAGGUGGUGUAGUGCUGGGGCUAGGUGGUGUAGUGGUGGUGCUAGGUGGUGUAGCGCUUGGGCUAGGUGAUGUAGCACUGGUGCUAGGUGGUGUAGCGCUGAUGCUAGGUGAUGUAGCGAUGCUAGGUGGUGUAACAGUGGUGCUAGGUGGUGUAGCGAUGCUAGGUGGUGUAGCACUGGGGCUAGGUGGUGUAGCGCAGGGGCGGUGGAGCAGGAGGGGUUUGGGGGGCAGCGGGGGCUUCAGGGACCCCGUCCUCCACAGGGCGGCGGCCCGCGGGCCCCGGGGCCCGUCGCUGUAGCUGUGCUGCCGCGUCAGGCUAGCGCUAGCCGCUAGCCCGGUAGUGCUGCCGUGUACCGCGUCGCUGCUAGCCUGGGCGGUGGCGGCGGGGCUAGCGUGGCGCGGCGGCGGCGGGGCUAGCACUAGCCGAUAGCCCGCUAGUGCUGGCGUGCGCUGCCGCGGCGCUAGCGUUGGCGGCGCGCUAGCUGGCGUGGCGGCGGCAGCGCUCGAGGGGCCGUUGCUGCUACUGUUGGUGUUCAUGCGCGCCAGGAAGUGGGCGGGUCUUGGCACGGCCCCUCCCCCGUCGCCGCCCGUCUUGAUGAGGGCGUGUCUCUGGGAGUGGCGGGUGGUCACCGUGACGCCCGCCGCGGCCGGCACCGGCGGCUCCGCCGUCCUGUUGCUAUGGUGAUGGCUGCUCAGGUUGUAGUGGUGGGAGCGCGUGUUGGGGCUGAUCUCCGGCUGGUUGCCAUGGUGAAGGUGGGUGUGCCCCGGGUAGAGGAGGGAGGAGGAGGAGGGGGAGGAGGAGGAGCAGGAGGAGGUGAGGACCUUGAUGCCCCCCUGGCCAGAGGCGCUCACCUCCUGGAUGUGUUUGAGGAGCUCCUCCAGGGCCGACUCCCCCUGCCCCCACCUCCCCCUGGCCCCGAGCUCCCCCUCUCCUGGGGGGGGCGCGAGGAGGAGCCGUUGGUCAGGGCGUUGCCAUGGUGAUGGAGGAUGGAGAGCAGCGGUUGGUCGGGAUGAGGAGGCAGAGCUCUGGGGGCGUGGUCCUCCUCCCCUUUGAUUGACAGCUGGGGUGGGUAGAAUUCUGCGUCGUCCUGCGUUACCUGAUGGAGGAGGAGCUGAGAGGAGGGGAGGAGCUGGGAGGAGGGGAGGAGCUGAGAUGAGGGGAGGAGCUGAGAGGAGGGGAGGAGCUUGGGGAGGGGAGGAGCUGAGAGGAGGGGAGGAGCUUGGGGAGGGGAGGAGCUGAGAGGAGGGGAGGAGCUGAGAGGAGGGGAGGAGCUGAGAGGAGGGGAGGAGCUGAGAGGAGGGGG